GUUCCCAUGUCCGCACGGGAGACCAAAACAAUCACCAAAAAAGGGCAGUUUGAAGCAGUGAAUCUUGAGAUAUUUGAAAGUAAAAGUUCAGCCCUGAAAUCAAUCAAUGGAGAGCCUCCCUAUCUCAACCUGGCAUGUGAAGUUGAUGGUCAGAAAUGGCAGACCCGCGUCCUGGUCUCCAAACACAGUGGCUACAUCUUUAUUCAGAC